rnacentral:rRNA from 1 species
AUUGAACGCUGGCGGCAUGCUUUACACAUGCAAGUCGAACGGUAACAGGCCGCAAGGUGCUGACGAGUGGCGAACGGGCGAGUAAUGCAUCGGAACGUGCCCAGUCGUGGGGGAUAACUACUCGAAAGAGUAGCUAAUACCGCAUACGAUCUAUGGAUGAAAGCGGGGGACCGUAAGGCCUAGCGCGAUUGGAGCGGCCGGUGUCAGAUUAGGUAGUUGGUGGGGUAAAGGCUCACCAAGCCAACGAUCUGUAGCUGGUCUGAGAGGACGACCAGCCACACUGGGACUGGGACGCGGCCCAGGCUCCUACGGGAGGCAGCAGUGGGGAAUGUUGGGCAAUGGGCGCAAGCCUGAUCCAGCAAUGCCGCGUGCAGGAAGAAGGCCUUCGGGUUGUAAAGUGCUUUUGUACGGAACGAAACGGCUCUGGUUAAUACCCGGGGCUAAUGACGGUACCGGAAGAAUAAGCACCGGCUAACUACGUG